rfam:Arabis alpina cultivar Pajares chromosome 6, whole genome shotgun sequence.
AACCCGUGAUGUGGACAGUCUCUCUGAUAUCCCUUGAUCCUGUCCCAUGCAACUUUGAAAGUUUCAGUCGGACCCUGAACAAACGUGGAUAUCUUAGCGCGAAGAU